rnacentral:lncRNA from 1 species
CCCUACCUAUAUUUUUGUAUUUCAAUUGAAUGAAGGAAUGCACUGUACAAAAAGAAAAUAGCAAAGCAGAAAAAUUACAAGGCGUAUGGGCCCAAAAGAGGGAAAAAGAAAACUAAGACUCAAGGAAACUAUCUCUCCAGACUGUUAGUGAGACUCUUCUCUUUUCGUUGGCCUUGAUGCACGCUAGGUCCAACUCUUCCUUGAGUCUACUUCUCCAGAGUGACAGGCUACAGGAUCCAUUAUAAAAAAUGAUGGAGUUUCUCAAUGUCCAUAAUACCCAACAACCAGUAAUGAUUAUUUCCCUGAAGAUGGCAUUUCCAAACUGUCUUCUAGACUUUAUUACCAUGUCUAGAGGGGUAGAUUCAGGUUCCAGUUAAUUGAUAUGGAGUUCCAGCAAGCCUGACUGAGGGAGCACUCAAAGAAAAGGUGAAAGCUAGUUUCCUCAUGGCCUGUAGAGCAAAGCACACAACUGUAGUCAUCCAGAUGCAUAUUUUUCCUUCUUAAUAAGUUUCUUGCUGAGUCUGUCUCUAAGAAGCAACCAGAAGAAAAAUUUAUGUUUCCCAAGGUUGCUGGAGGACCAGAGCCAAGAGAAGAGGGAAGAAGCUUCUUCCACGUUCUGAAUAAGGAGGUUGUAAACUUUCUUGCUGCUGAAAUAUAUGCAGGGAUAUCAGUCACAUUUUCAUCCCAUUCUCUGCCUAAUUCAGAGUCCAGUAGGUCACUUAACUGUCUAGCAACUUGUGUUGAUAGAGGUAGUCUAAAGUUCACUUCCAUUUCAUUAUUAAGGAAGAAUCUGAUGGAACAUUUAGGUUUCCUGCUAAAAGAGAAGAGUUGAGGGUAUUUGUCUUUCAAGGCUGAUGAGCACCAAUUACCCGACCAGAAAAGAUCACUGUUUCCCCAAUUAGGUGUGCAUUCUGUGAGUUUGUUAUAUGCUCCAAACAGUUUUAAGACUUCUUUCCACCAGAAAGAUCCAACUGGACUUCUUGCUUGUGGUGGAGUUUGAUUGCUGCAAUAUAACUUGGACCAUGUCAAUUUUACCCAGGGGAGCUCUGCAUGGUUGUAGAAGUUAUUUAAAUGUUUCAUCAACAGGGCAUCAUUGUGUUUUUCAAUGUCGAUAAUGCCCAGCCCUCCCUGGUUUUUGGGCUUGCAAACUGUCUCCCAGGCCACUAAACAGGAUCCUUUUCUAUUGAUAUCACCCUUGCUCCAGAGACAGUGCUUUCUGUAUUUAUCUAUCUGUUUGACAACCUGUGGAGGUAGCUUGAGACGGCACAUGUAGAAGGUGGGGAGAGCAGUGAGGACAGAAUUAACCAGGAUUAGCCUUCCAUCAUAAGAUAGUAAUUUACUGAACCCAGGGAGUCUUCUUUCAAUUCUAUUGAGGAGAGGGGUGAAGUCCUGUACAGUAAGUUUCGUAGUGCCCAAAGGGAGCUCCAGAUAGGUGAAAGGCAUAGUGCCUAACUGGCAACCAAAGGUCAGGGCCAGAUGCUGGGCUCUUUCAUUUGUCAUGUUUAUAGGGACCAGAAAUGAUUUGCUGAAAUUUACAUGUAGGCCACAAGAGUCAGAAAAAGUUCUAAGGAGGCCUUUCAGGUUGAAGAGCGUUC